CUACGGGUGGCUGCAGUGGGGAAUAUUGCACAAUGGGUGCAAGCCUGACGCAGCAACGCCGCGUGAGUGAUGAAGGCCUUCGGGUCGUAAAGCUCUGUCAAGUGGGAAGAACCUAUGUAAUGUUAAUAUCAUUAUAUACUGACGGUACCACUGAAGGAAGCACCGGCUAACUCCGUGCCAGCAGCCGCGGUAAUACGGGGGGUGCAAGCGUUAUUCGGAAUCAUUGGGCGUAAAGGGCACGUAGGCGGCCUGGUAAGUCAGAUGUGAAAGCCCGGGGCUUAACCCCGGAAGUGCAUUUGAUACUGUCAGGCUUGAGUAUGGGAGAGGGAAGUGGAAUUCCUGGUGUAGAGGUGAAAUUCGUAGAUAUCAGGAGGAACACCGGUGGCGAAGGCGACUUCCUGGACCAAUACUGACGCUGAGGUGCGAAGGCGUGGGUAGCAAACAGGAUUAGAUACCCCCGUAGUC
rnacentral:rRNA from 1 species